rnacentral:lncRNA from 1 species
GAUGAGUUUAGUGGCAAUCUCUAGAUUUCUUCCCUUGGAAGUAUCAUCCUGUGACUCCUCAAGCUCUCUCCCUAAUAAAGGCAGCGUAAAUUACGAAAUGAUACAUCAUUAAUCUCCAGGAGUUUUUUCCAAAAGUAGUAAUAUAGGUGCGUCCAAGAGAGAACAAGAUCGACGAUUCAACUAGCAAGGCGACUACUCCCUUUGCUUAAAGCUCA